AAACCCACAAAGGAAAAAGAAAUGGAUAAUAUGGUCAUCGCAACCAAAUUAGGGUUCGGGAGUUGGUUAAGCAAGGGGAAGGUAUUAGCACCUCUCACCUCCAUCAUACUCGAUGGGAUCCAUUUAGUUAGUUUCGUGUUUGAGUGUUAGCGUAAUGUUUGCAUUCUUUUUCUUAUUAAUCGAGAAAAGAUAAAAGAAAAGGUUUUUAGGGUUUUUAUUAUGAAGAAAAAAGAAAAUAUUUUUUAUUAUUAUGCUCGCCAAGACGUUUGUGUCUUGUGCCUACGUAUUCCCUCGUGCAAUGGAAAAGUCAGAGCAAUCGUAGUUCGGGCGAAGAACCACGAAAGUUUGUUGGUAGAUUUUAGCGAGAGGUACUCGACCGCUUUCAAAAUGGAGACAAUACUACGCGCACAUGGAUAAGAUAUCACUACAAGAAUGGAUGACUAAAUCAAGAGUAAGACGAGAUUUUGGCCAUCAUCGCAUUCGAGUGGAAGAUAUUCGAUCUUCACAUGUGGAAGUAUGUUCGCAUAUGAACUUGACAAAGUGUCUCGUUUAUGAAAAGAGGUUUUAAUAUAAAGAGGCCAUAAGGCAAAAAGGUUUGAAUGAAAUUGGAGUUAUUAUUAGAAGGGAUGUUUAGUGAACAUUUUGAGCAUAGGUGUGCACCUAGCGCGUUGUUCACCCAAGAUAUUCAAAAGGAUGCGAGUCCAAUUGUCACUUGUUAUCCAAGUUAGUAAAAGAGGAUAUUGACGGACUUUUAGUAAAGGAUUGAGCAUAGGUGUUCACCUAGCGCGUCUUUACCCAAGGUAUUCAACAGGAGCGAGUCCCAUUGUUAUUUGUUGUCCUUAUUUAAUAAAAGAAGAUGUUUGCAGACGUUUAGCAAAGGAUUGAGCAUAGGUGUUCACCUAGCGCGUCUUUACCCAAGAAUCGAGGUGAAAAUGGUGGAGAGAGUGAAGAUGAUGAAGUGGUGGAGAAUGAAUCGAGAAAUCAAAAAUGGUGAAGCCCCCUGAAGCUGAGUGAAGGUCCAGUUAUAUAGAGUUUCUAGGUUUGGCUUAUUGCUACAAAUAUGCUUGACUCUGCCGCGAAUUAUGAAGUUGCAUGACAAACUGUUUGUGAUGGAGCUCAACUGUUUUCUUCUUUUUCUUUUUUUUUUGAAUUAGCCAUGGUUACUGUGUUGGAACUGAUUUGGGUAUGAAUGUAUGUGUAGUAUCUUGCUGUUUGUAGGUGAUGCUGUUUGUUUAUAAGUUAUGCUAUUUGUAGGUUAUUUUUGGUUAUGCUGUGUGUAGGAUUUUGUUUGCAUUUGAAUAUGUGGCAGCAAGAUUAGAGAUUGCAUAUGAAAGUGUAUGGACUGGCUGAAACUGAUUUUGUCUAUUUUUUGCACAGGGAUGGUUUGGUUGACUGCUGUUGGUUUCCGUUGAUUUAAAAUAUGCAGGGACUGUUAUGAGCGACGCAAGUUAAACCAUGGAGCUAUCGGGAUUUAUUGUACUUGGCAUCAGCCUUGCAGCUUGAGUUGUAAUUGAGGUUUUGACUCGCUGGUCGGAGAAAUUGGGCAUAAUAACCAGCUAGGUUCAAUCGUGAAUGGACAAUAAAGCUUAAAAACCAAGAAAUAUCAUGUGCCUGAACUCAGAAUCGUCAAACGGCGUGGUUUAGCAUUGUAUUUACUUUGUGAUGAAGAAAAUUGGAUGUUGUAUUGUAUUCGAGUUUGUUAUGAGUGAUGAUCAUUAGCUAUGGAUGACUGGGUUCAGAAUUAUGUAUGAUGGGUGACUGGGUUUAGGAUUAUAUAUGUUGUAUGAUGUUGAUUCUGGUAUGGUAAAUGUGUAUGUAGGAGAAUUUGAAUUGAAAGAUUUUGGUGUAUACAUGGAGGUGAACAUGUGU